rnacentral:tRNA from 1 species
UCCCUGGCAGUCCAGUGGUUAGGACUCUGCACUUCUGCUGCUGGGGGCAUGGGUUCAAUCCUCGGUCAGGGAA